AGUUGCCAGCAUUGAGUUGGGCGCUGUAGUGAGACUGCCGGUGACAAACCGGAGGAAGGCGGGGACGACGUCAGAUCAUCAUGCCCCUUAUGACCUGGGCUACACACGUGCUACAAUGGACGGUACAACGAGUCGCAAACUCGCGAGAGUAAGCUAAUCUCUUAAAGCCGUUCUCAGUUCGGACUGUAGGCUGCAACUCGCCUACACGAAGUCGGAAUCGCUAGUAAUCGCGGAUCAGCAUGCCGCGGUGAAUACGUUCCCGGGCCUUGUACACACCGCCCGUCACACGCAUGGGAGUUUGUAACGCCCAAAGUCGGUGGCCUAACCUUUAUGGAGGAGCCGCCUAAGCGAAGAAAUG
rnacentral:rRNA from 1 species